AGAGUUUGAUCCUGGCUCAGGAUGAACGCUAGCGGCAGGCCUAACACAUGCAAGUCGAGGGGUAGCAGGGUAGCAAUAUCGCUGACGACCGGCGCACGGGUGAGUAAUGCGUAUGCAACCUUCCUUUAACUGGGGCAUAGCCCGGAGAAAUUCGGAUUAAUACCCCAUAACAUCAUGAAAAGGCAUCUUUUUAUGAUUAGAGCUCCGGCGGUUAAAGAUGGGCAUAUGUGCCAUUAGCUUGGUUGGUGAGGUAACGGCUCACAAGGCUACAUGGGCUAGGGGGUCCUGAGAGGAUGAUCCCCCACACUGGUACUGAGACACGGACCAGACUCCUACGGGAGGCAGCAGUGAGGAAUAUUGGGCAAUGGGCGCAAGCCUGACCCAGCCAUGCCGCGUGAAGGAUGAAUGCCCUAUGGGUUGUAAACUUCUUUUGUACGGGACAAAACUCCUUGGUCGUGACCGGGAUUGAUGGUACCGUACGAAUAAGCAUCGGCUAACUCCGUGCCAGCAGCCGCGGUAAUACGGAGGAUGCAAGCGUUAUCCGGAUUCAUUGGGUUUAAAGGGUGCGUAGGCGGAAUAGCAAGUCAGCGGUGAAAGCCUGUGGCUUAACCAUAGAAAUGCCGUUGAUACUGUUAUUCUUGAGUGUAGUUGAAGUGGGCGGAAUGUGUAAUGUAGCGGUGAAAUGCUUAGAUAUUACACAGAACACCAAUUGCGAAGGCAGCUCACUAAGCUAAUACUGACGCUGAGGCACGAAAGCGUGGGGAGCAAACAGGAUUAGAUACCCUGGUAGUC
rnacentral:rRNA from 1 species